ACGUUCUCGUGUUAUUUGCUAGUUUGUUAUACCCAAAACUAGCGAUUGUCAAACAGAACGAAAAGUAAAGUCACCUAAUCACUCCAUAAUGUUGAGCCGACUUUCCAGGGCUUCUGCAUUACUAAAUGUGUGCCACAUUC